ACACGACUACAUUAGAUACCCCGGUAGUCCCAGCCGUAAACGAUACUCGCUAGGUGUCGGCCACGGUGCGACCGUUGUCGGUGCCGUAGGGAAGCCGUGAAGCGAGCCACCUGGGAAGUACGGCCGCAAGGCUGAAACUUAAAGGAAUUGGCGGGGGAGCACCACAACGGGUGGAGCUUGCGGUUUAAUUGGAUUCAACGCCGGAAAUCUUACCGGGACCGACAGCAACAUGAAGGCCAGGCUGAAGACUUUGCCGGAUUAGCUG
rnacentral:rRNA from 1 species